rnacentral:rRNA from 1 species
CUCGCCUACGGGAGGCAGCAGUGAGGAAUAUUGGUCAAUGGACGGAAGUCUGAACCAGACAUGCCGCGUGCAGGAAGACGGCUCUAAGAGUUGUAAACUGCUUUUGUACAAGGGUAAACCUGAAUACGUGUAUUCAGCUGAAAGUACUGUACGAAUAAGGAUCGGCUAACUCCGUGACAGCAGCCGCGGUAAUACGGAGGAUGCAAGCGUUAUCCGGAUUUAUUGGGUUUAAAUGGUGCGUAGGCG